rnacentral:ncRNA from 1 species
CACCACCUGUCACUCCUACCGAUUGAAUGGUCCGGUGGAGUGUUCGGAUCGCGACGAAGUGGUGGUUCAACGCCGACGACGUCGCGAGAAGUCCACAAAACCUUAUCAUUUAGAGGAAGGAGAAGUCGUAACAAGGUGUUCGUAGGUGAACCUGCGGAAG